rnacentral:hammerhead_ribozyme from 1 species
AUCCAGUUGACGAGUCCCAAAUAGGACGAAAGACUCGUCCUGGAU